CGCGUAGGCGGUGGGUUACGUCUGCCGUGAAAUCCCCGGGCUCAACCUGGGAAUGGCGGUGGAAACGGGCUGACUAGAGUAUGGGAGAGGGUGAUGGAAUUCCAGGUGUAGCGGUGAAAUGCGUAGAGAUCUGGAGGAACAUCAGUGGCGAAGGCGGUCACCUGGCCCAAUACUGACGCUGAGGCGCGAAAGCGUGGGAGCAAACAG
rnacentral:rRNA from 1 species